GUCCCGCAGCCGAAGCCGCCACCGCGAGUCGCCGCCCGUCGGCCCGCCUGCCUUCAGUAUGUAAUUGGCAGAUCAGAUGAGGACUUGAAGUCACCCUUUGGCAUUAAAAUUCUGGACAAAUUAAAUCAGGCUUGGUAUUAUACUUCGCUAUUUAUUUUUGUUUGCACCCUGCAUGUAAUUUCUUUACUUUGUAAAUGAGAGAAGAUAUUGGUUGUUGAGAAUGGUGUUUCAUUGAAUGAUUCCAUCUAGUUCCUUGAGGUGAAUGAAAACUGCUAGCAUAGAGAUGCUUGGGGGUAUCUUAAUUUCUCUACACCAAAGUGUAUCAUAGAGUUGAUUCAGGUAUGAUCAACUUCGUUACAAUAGCUUAUUUAAACAUUUUUUAUUUAAAAGUAGUGUUAAGUAAAUUUGAAACAAAAAGGUGUUGUGAUUAGUUAAAUUUGAAAUGUAGGUGCAUGCUGCUUGAUCUAGCUUCUCUUUUUUCCAUACGAGCCUCAGUUCAGACAACAGUAAGCUAGGUUGUGGUUAUCAUAUAAGUUGUAUUGAUUCUUGUUAUAAUGCUUUGGCUAUCAAUUAUUUUAGUGAAUAAAAUAGGUUAUUUUUUGUAGCUAAGAUCUUCAACACAACUGUUUUAUGCUCUGGUUUUCUGUAAUGAGAGAUUUUUUUUGACAGAUAUUAAAAGGUGAACUGGACAAACUCCUCCAGAGAAAGAUUAAGGAACCGGCAAUAGACAUCUUUUCAGAAGGGAAAGGGGUUGUGGCUGCUUCCAUAGAACUGUUCGAGAAUACAUUUUGCUUGCAUUGAAGCUGGAGUAGCAAUUUCUUCUUCACCCAUUUGUCUUUCCCUUGCCUACUAGUUGAAUGUAUCAUUUUGUUGUGUGAAUGUUGUGGAGCAGCAAAUAUUCUUGUCAAAAUUCUAUGAGGAAACAUCGCAGUACAACUGAGAUUUCGUAUUGCAUUUUAUUUUAUUUGGAAAUAAAAUGUACACCCUCCGUUUCAAAA